rnacentral:misc_RNA from 1 species
GAAAUGCGAUAAGUAGUGUGAAUUGCAGAAGUAUGUGAAUCAUCGAAUCUUUGAACGCAAAUUGCACUCUCUGGUAUUCCGGGGAGUAUGCCUGUUUGAGGGUCGCUUAACAAACCAUCGAUUUCAUUGCUUUUUUUUUUAAAGGGUAAUGUUUAUCGGAUUUGAGCCGUCUUUUUUUAUUUUUUAUUUAAAAGUGGCUUAAAAUUGAUUUUUUGGUAUGAUCGAAGCGUAUUUUAUGAUCAAUUUUUGGUUAAGAAACGCACGCAUACCGUCAUUUAUAUGAUGUAAUACGGUUGACUAUCAGAUUUAGUUCAAUCGUAUACGAUAUUUUCAAUAUUUGACCUCAAAUCAGGUAAGAACACCCGCUGAACUUAA